rnacentral:rRNA from 1 species
AACUAACAAGGAUUCCCCUAGUAACUGCGAGUGAAGCGGGAAAAGCUCAAAUUUAAAAUCCUUCGGGAAUUGUAAUCUAGAGAAGUGUUUUCGGUCGUUGCCUCGGACAAGUCCUUUGGAACAAGGCGUCAUAGAGGGUGAGAAUCCCGUCCUUGCCGAGCUACCAACGUCUAUGUGAUACACUCUCGAAGAGUCGAGUUGUUUGGGAAUGCAGCUCAAAACGGGUGGUAAACUCCAUCUAAAGCUAAAUAUUGGCGAGAGACCGAUAGCGAACAAGUACCGUGAGGGAAAGAUGAAAAGCACUUUGGACAGAGAGUUAAACAGUACGUGAAAUUGUUGAAAGGGAAACGCUUGAAGUCAGUCGCGUUGCAGGGACUCAGCCGCAAGGUGCAUUUCUCGGUAACGGGUCAACAUCAGUUUCGAGCGCGGGAAAAGGGCUCGGGGAAUGUGGCAGCCUCGGCUGUGUUAUAGCCCCCUGUCGUACACCGCGCCCGGGACUGAGGACCGCUAAUAGGAUGUUGACGUAAUGGCUUUAAGCGAC